rnacentral:rRNA from 1 species
GAUGAACGCUGGCGGCGUGCUUAACACAUGCAAGUCGAACGGUGAACGAGGGAGCUUGCUCCCUCCGGAUCAGUGGCGAACGGGUGAGUAACACGUGAGCAAUCUGCCCUGGACUCUGGGAUAAGCGUUGGAAACGACGUCUAAUACCGGAUACGAGACGCGAAGGCAUCUUCAGCGUCUGGAAAGAACUUCGGUCCAGGAUGAGCUCGCGGCCUAUCAGGUAGUCGGUGAGGUAACGGCUCACCAAGCCUACGACGGGUAGCCGGCCUGAGAGGGUGACCGGCCACACUGGGACUGAGACACGGCCCAGACUCCUACGGGAGGCAGCAGUGGGGAAUAUUGCACAAUGGGCGCAAGCCUGAUGCAGCGACGCCGCGUGAGGGACGACGGCCUUCGGGUUGUAAACCUCUUUUAGCAGGGAAGAAGCGAAAGUGACGGUACCUGCAGAAAAAGCACCGGCUAACUACGUGCCAGCCGCCGCGGUAACAC